UGGGGAAUAUUGCACAAUGGGCGCAAGCCUGAUGCAGCCAUGCCGCGUGUAUGAAGAAGGCCUUCGGGUUGUAAAGUACUUUCAGCGAGGAGGAAGGCGUUGUGGUUAAUAACCGCAGCGAUUGACGUUACUCGCAGAAGAAGCACCGGCUAACUCCGUGCCAGCAGCCGCGGUAAUACGGAGGGUGCAAGCGUUAAUCGGAAUUACUGGGUGUAAAGCGCACGCAGGCGGUAUGUCAAGUCGGAUGUGAAAUCCCCGGGCUCAACCUGGGAACUGCAUCCAAAACUGGCAGGCUAGAGUCUUGUAGAGGGGGGUAGAAUUCCAGGUGUAGCGGUGAAAUGCGUAGAGAUCUGGAGGAAUACCGGUGGCGAAGGCGGCCCCCUGGACAAAGACUGACGCUCAGGUGCGAAAGCGUGGGGAGCAAACA
rnacentral:rRNA from 1 species